AUCGCCAACGGCUUCCGCCACCGCCCGACUGAAGCGAGUCAUCGUCUUCCCCCAUGAGUCUCCUGAAUUUUCGUCGUCCGCCCUCAUAUUUUCAUAUUUCACAAUUCACCCGUUGCCCUACCUCUCUCUCUUCACCUCACUCCUUCUCUCCUUCAAUCCCUACACUUCCUCACUGUCCCAAACUUUUCAUCACAUACAAUGCUUUCUCGGCUGCAGCUGUUCCCCCAUUUCCCUCUUUCUCUCUCUCCAAACGAACCUUUACUUUCCGAGAUUCUAGGGUUUCAAAAAUUGAAGCUUCAGCGAGCAGUGAAGCAGAACUGUUCGAUGCUGCUGCGACGGAGUUCGAGGAUUUAACUGCCGAUAGCGCUGUCUAUCGGAACACGUUGAGAUUGGUCGAGUGCUCGAUGUUUGCCGCCGUUGCUGGACUGGCUUACAUACUGAGCAACUCUCUCGCAAUGGAGAAUUAUUUUGGUUGCUUCUUCUCAUUGCCAAUAGUAAUCUCCUCAAUGAGAUGGGGCAUUGCAGCUGGGAGAAAAACUAUGGUGGCAACAGCAAUGCUAUUACUUGUCCUGUCUGGUCCAGUGAAAGCAUCUACCUAUUUGCUUAUGCAUGGUUUAGUUGGUCUAAUGAUGGGUUCUUUAUGGAGGUUGGGAGCGAAUUGGGGACUUUCAAUCUUUCUGUGCACAUUUAUACGAGCAAUGGGAGCACUGGGGUAUGUUGCACUAUCCUCAUUCUUAAUAAGGGAAAACAUACUUGCUUUGAUCACCAUCAACAUACAUGCUUCUCUCACCUACCUGUUGUCUUGCAUUGGCAUUAACAUUAUUCUGUCUAUGGAUGCAAUAUAUGCCAUAUUUGGAACCCUGCUUCUGUUAAAUUGUGGAUUCUUUGUGUUCUUGCUACAUAUUUUGUAUGCUGUGUUCCUUACAAGACUUGGAAUGAAGAUGAUGUUAAUACUGCCCAGAUGGCUGCAGAAGGCUAUGUAAUGGUAGCACUCCCUAGUUGCCAUUUUCAUCUCCAUGGAAUACCUUAUUCUGAAGUAACGGUGCAAGCAGGAUUUGAGCAAUUAGGUCUCACUGAAGUAUAUUUGGACAAAAAAUCACUCGAUGACUGGGGGAACCGAGACGGCAUUCAUGUUGGAAGGUGUUAGAAGCAAGAAACCACCAACGCAGGUGUGGAUUGAAUUGUAUAGAAAAGAUAAACCGCUGAUGAUACUGAGUCAAAAUAUAUACCCAGAUUUGUAGUACAUACUGCAUUGUUGGUGCAAGAUGCUGCUUUGGAUAUUUGAAAAGAAAAAAGAGAGGAUAACUUCAGCAGUAAACUUCGAUUUGUUAGUUUGUAGAAUAGAGAAGCUAGAUAUAAAGAGAGAAAAAUGAGAUAAAAUAGUUUUUCUCCUCUUAUUCUGGUUCAAACAAAGUGAUUUAGAAUGUACAUCGAGGCCCAUUUAAUGAGAGAAAAAAGAAAAAGAAAAUAUGAAAAAGAUUACCUCCAAAAGAAAAGGAGAAGAAAAUAAACCGUGUAACAGAUCAAUAAACAAAAAUGUAUUUUUGUUAUAGUAACGUUUAUGUUUUUAAGUUAUUAACCAUGUCAGAAUAAAGUUUUAUUUGUAUUAUUAUUUGAUAUAAA